rnacentral:rRNA from 1 species
GACGAACGCUGGCGGCGUGCUUAACACAUGCAAGUCGAACGGAAAGGCCUCUUUCGGGGGGUACUCGAGUGGCGAACGGGUGAGUAACACGUGAGUAACCUGCCCUUGUCUUUGGGAUAACUUCAGGAAACUGGGGCUAAUACCGGAUAGGAGCUCCUGCUGCAUGGUGGGGGUUGGAAAGUUUCGGCGGUUGGGGAUGGACUCGCGGCUCAUCAGCUUGUUGGUGGGGUAGUGGCUUACCAAGGCUUUGACGGGUAGCCGGCCUGAGAGGGUGACCGGCCACAUUGGGACUGAGAUACGGCCCAGACUCCUACGGGAGGCAGCAGUGGGGAAUAUUGCACAAUGGGUGGAAGCCUGAUGCAGCAACGCCGUGUGCGGGAUGACGGCCUUCGGGUUGUAAACCGCUUUCGCUCAUGACGAAGCUUUGUGUGACGGUAGUGGGUAAAGAAGCACCGGCUAACUACGUG